rnacentral:lncRNA from 1 species
UUCGAUCUAACCCACGGUGACGCUGUCCGCAACCGAGGAGCCACCCUGCCCUCUACAUCCAGAGGUUCUGCCCCGCCAUCCCUUUUGCACCACCGGCGAGGGCCCCCAAAUUCAGCCCCUGCAGGUAAGCUUGAAAAUAGAUCCAUCCUUUUCUUUUCUGCUUCAUAUGUUAUUUCUCGUUUAUCCAUGAAUGUGAUUGCCCCUGAAAUCUUUUUGGCUCAUCGAUUAUCUGAACAAGAUCAUGUCAGUUUAUUUGAGAUUGGAGAUUCCAGAGUACUAAUCAUCCAUCUCUCAUUAUACAAUUAGGGUAAAUUAAGUAUUUAGUUGAUUUCUGGACAGAUUGAAGUAUAUAUAUUUUACUGACUAGUGUUACGUGCUAUGUUAUUAUAUGUUUAUUUACUUAGAUAUGUUGCAACUCUUCGUUCUUGAUUAGAACCGUCAUGUUAUUUUAAUGUUGUUUUUCUUGUUGUUGAUUUGGGAUGUUUUCUGCAACAGCUUCUGUUUCAGAGAAUGGUUUCUAAAAGACUGUGCACGAUGAUUAGUAGAUUUGUCCGCCAUGUCUUGGCCUGGGUGUUUUGUGGAUUCAACGAGAUUUCAUUAUAUUUCACUUGCUCUUCCAUGGGUGUCGUGCCUAUCUAGAAACAUGUUACUGGUUUUAGUUCAGGCUAGCUUUCUGCUCAUAGGUAGAACUUUGCAUCUGAUAUCAACUUUAAUGAGGUUUGACUAUUGUUGGGGAUGUUCUGAAGCUUGUGGACUGUAUGCUUGUAGCUGAGCUUAACCUCCGAGGCCUCUCCCUUCUCUUAUCACAUUUAUAUCCAGCAUCCAGUCUCAGGUUUCACUAUUUACUAAUUACUACUACCGUUGAAAUGAUUGGGUCCCAAUCUUCCUAUUUCCCUUUGCAGCCUGCAAGGAUCCCCAACCAUACUGGGUGCUAAUGCCUGAGGUAUGUACUGCUUGGAUUUGCUCAGCUAAAGAAACACAGCACAAUCAUGAUGUGUAUCAACAAUUGGUUCAUUGUGGCUAGAAGCCUUUUUUUAGUCUCAAACUUCCUGGGGGAGACUAGCGUGAUUUUUGGGCUUCACAUGAGAUGUGCAAUCCGGCCACCUGGACCAUUGGAUGUGUCAAGGCUGCAAAGCCUGACCGUUUUAUGCAAAACCCCAUGUUUUUAUCUCUGUUUUGCAUGUGAUCACACACUUGUAUGGUUUUGCAUAAACCACCAGUGCGAACAUUACAUUUCCUAGUUCAGUAAUCAUCCAUGUUCAGUCUGUAGCCUAUAAUGUACUCUGUAUAUUGCUCAAAAUGAUAAUCUUACUCUGUAUUUUGCUGGAAAAAAGGUUCUACUCUACAAUCUAGUACUCACUGAAAGCAUUCAAAAACUGUGUUAGACAAUUUUCACUAAACCUGCACGUUCCAGACCCAAAUUUUAUCUAACAAAAACACUAAAGCUCUAACAACAACACUAGAAGCUGUACCACCUAAUUGAGGUCAUUAAGUCAACAAGAAAUAGAAUAAGUAUAUUUACAACAUAUGCACCAGUCAUGUUUUUGAAGAUGCGAUGGCGAUCCCUUCAAAUCCGUAUUUCAAUAAUGCAAGAAAGGAACCAUUUAACAGCCAUUAUGGACAAACAUUUUCAUUUUGUUCUUUGGACAAAUACGGGUGUCGUGUAACCAAACUCCCUUGCAUGUGCUGCAAGUGCGUGGCACCUAAGAUGGCUGGAACACUAAGCAGAUCGGGUGGGCAUGCUAAGGCUGGCAAGGGUGAGGUGGAAUUAUGCAUCAUAAGCACCUGAAUCAGAUGGUCGCGUAAUUAUAUUAUCAUUCAUUGUUUUCAGACAAAAUGUUUAUUCCAUGGCUGGUAAUGUUAAGGCUCCUCUGUUACUUCUCAAAGCAACCACACGUUUUGUAGCAAUGUUGAUGCUGCACGCUUGCUGCCAAUUUGAUUCUGCAUUUAGUACUAUGCGAGUGAACUAAGAAAGUGUUGUUUCAGGCUAGUAAAGCAUCAUUGUGCACUUCUGGAACAACUAUCAUGGAAGUAUGGAACUAAUGCUAGCAAAACUACUCUGUGUUGUCGCCUGAGGAAAAAGAUGGAACUUUAUUUUCCUGCCCAACAUUCUUUUGGAAUCUCCUUUUUUAUAUGCCAUGCUUUUUCAAGCUAGUACAGAUAAAGAUCUAGCCACAAAGAUAAGGUAAUUUGUUUCUAAUCUACUACACCUUAUAUAUUCAGAGGUACAAAGGGAGCUUCUAUAUAUGCAAUUAUUCUCAGUUGCAACAUAAUUGUUCAGUUGAGCUACUGAACUUGCUGACAGGAAAAUGCUCAGGGGUAACAACUUGAAAAUUUUCUAGGUAACUAAAUAAGAUAUUCUGACGGUUUAAAAUAGACCACAUCCUAUUUGUGUCAGCCUACUAUAUUCUACAGUUACACUAAGAAUGGAAGUACACCAAUACCAGUUUGUUUAGGUCACUACAACAUUGUGGCUAUAGUGGGUGGAUUAGGAUGCAACAUCUGUUUGUAUCUGCUGGUAUGGCAAUUUUGCUGCUUGCUAGGAGAUGUUCAUCUCCAGCGUUUAUUGCAGUUUAAAAAGCAGUUCAAUCACCUUGUAAUAGUUAUGGUGUAGUAAGAUUUGGGUUAAAUAUCGGUUUGAUACACGCUGAAUUUUGAGUUAGUCUCCAAAUAGAAGUUGUAGUGUACUUCUUAAGCUUUCUAGAGUGUAUUUAUUUGUGUAUUUUUACUGGGCAGUUUGAGAGCAGCGACCACCUCAAGCUUGCCGUCCAAAAAUUAGUAUCUCUAUUCGGACAUGAUACUACAAAAGAAACAAUGCAUUGAUACUUUCCCCGUUCCUUGUAUGUUUGCUUGCUAUUUACAUAUUUAACCUUCCAAAAUAGGGCCACCAGUCAUGUCAGGAAUGCCAUUGUAUUAUUACCAUACUUGAACUGCUGGCCGACGAUGGUAAUUCAGACAGCCGUAUUAUUUGCAUUGCUAAACUAUCCUGGUAUAUAUUUAGGAUCCUACGCUACUUAUUUAGAUUACAAAUAAAUUUGUCAUGUUAAUGUUUAUGUCGGUAUAUGUGCCAGCUUACACCCAGAUUUGUUUUGCCUUAUGCAGAAACUACUGGAUACUUUACAUCAAGCUUGACCAAGUAUGUCCCUUGUUGCUGUUGUUAUACCUGGCGAUAGAGCUCCAUUGGUUUCUUCAAAGGUGGCAUGCCCUGAUUGAUUUAUUACUCUGUAGAGUGUGUAAAGGUUUUUCUGUUUAUGACUAUUUGGUGCUUUUAUCCAGCAAGGCAGUAAGUUCUUUUGCAGGGACAAAUGGCAGAAAAUAGCAAGUCCACAAGUUGAUCUAAGAUGCUCCGUGGUCGCUUUUGUUGAUAACAUGGUUGACACCUUUUGUUCAUACAAAAGUUCAUGUUGGCUUGGUGAUUGAAGAAUUGGUCUCUGCCAUCAAAUUUUGUAGUAGUCAGUGAUCAAACAAUUGGUCUCUUCGGAUCUUAGCCAUCAAAUUUUGCAACAACUUGUCUUGUAUGUCAAACUUAUGUAUUUCCUUGAUGGUUGUAGCUAUCUUGAGCGAAGAAAACAAAUUAAUCUUUAUAUAUGUUGAAUGAAUGUAUGGAUGAAUGGCAGUUUGUGAUGAAUAUAAGAGUGCAAUUGUGUAUAUGCAUUGUGUACUAAACAUGAAUUAAAUAUUAUGAAUGUGAUUUAAUGUUAAAA